GAUGAACGCUAGCGGCAGGCUUAACACAUGCAAGUCGAGGGGUAGAGUUAGCUUGCUAACUUGAGACCGGCGCACGGGUGCGUAACGCGUAUGCAAUCUACCUUGUACAGAGGGAUAGCCCAGAGAAAUUUGGAUUAAUACCUCAUAGUAUCUUCGGAAGGCAUCUUCUGAUUAUUAAAGUUCCAACGGUACAAGAUGAGCAUGCGUCCCAUUAGCUAGAUGGUAAGGUAACGGCUUACCAUGGCAACGAUGGGUAGGGGUCCUGAGAGGGAGAUCCCCCACACUGGUACUGAGACACGGACCAGACUCCUACGGGAGGCAGCAGUGAGGAAUAUUGGUCAAUGGGCGCAAGCCUGAACCAGCCAUGCCGCGUGCAGGAAGACGGUCCUAUGGAUUGUAAACUGCUUUUAUACGGGAAGAAACACUGCUACGUGUAGCAGCUUGACGGUACCGUAAGAAUAAGCAUCGGCUAACUCCGUGCCAGCAGCCGCGGUAA
rnacentral:rRNA from 1 species